AUCUUUGGCAUAUAAAAUCAACUCAUGUUUGUAUGUAUUUAAUCUCAAAAGACCUUGCCAUUGGCUUACUUAGAGUAUCUUCUGAAAGGUCAAAGUUUACUAUGCAUGUUAACUAAGGAAACAAACAAAAAUCAAUUUCUAAAUCUAAAGAUGUUGUUUCCAUCUCUAAGUUUUCAAAAGCUUACAUUGGAUUUGUUCUUGGCAAAUAAAAUUGAAAUAUUUUCUGUAUUUGCUAAAUCUUGUAAAAGUGUUUCAAAUGAUAAAGGUUUCCAAACUGUGAAGGUAUCAUGGCACAGUGUUGAAAACCAAAAUCUUGAUAAAGUUUAUACAGAAAUUAAUUAUUUCAGCACCAAGGACACCU
rnacentral:lncRNA from 1 species